GAUGAACGCUGGCGGCGUGCCUAACACAUGCAAGUCGAGCGAACGGACGAGAAGUUUUCUUCUCUGAUGUUAGCGGCGGACGGGUGAUUACCACGUGUAUAACCUACCUAUAAGACUGAGAUAACGACGCGAAACCGGAUCUAAUACCGGAUAAUAUUUUGAACCGCAUGGAUCAAAAGUCAUAGACGGUCUUGCUGUCACUUAUAGAUGGAUCCGCGCUGCAUGAGCUAGUGGGUAAGGUAACGGCUUACCGAGGCAACGAUGGAUAGCCGACCUGAGAGGGUGAUCGGCCACCCUGGAACUGAGACACGGUCCAGACUCCUACGGGAGGCAGCAGUAGGGAAUCUUCCGCAAUGGGCGAAAGCCUGACGGAGCAACGCCGCGUGAGUGAUGAAGGUCUUCGGAUCGUAAAACUCUGUAAGUAGGGAAGAAGAUAAGUGUAAGUAACUGUGCACAUAUUGACGGUACCUACACAAAAAGCCACGGCUAACUACGUG
rnacentral:rRNA from 1 species